rnacentral:lncRNA from 1 species
GCCCUUUCUACUUUCCUCAAUUACAGUUUGCCAUUCUUCUGUAACCUUCUGAUUCGAUUGUCGCCAGAAGAACCCAGAGAGAGAUCAAUAAUCAAUCACCCCUAAUCGCGUGUACACAUCUCUUGAGGAGAGAGAGAGAGAGAGAGAGAACGAAGAGAGCCGAGUGAUCUGGGUAGAAGAAGAAGAAGGGAUUUCGAAUCGCAAACAAAUCCUCUCCAUAACUCCUUCUUCCAUAAAUCUUUCUCCUCCACUGUUAUUCAGCCCGGGCAGUCCAACCCGAAGGUUGAGGAUAAAGCCAAGUUGUGCCCUUGUGUUAAAGAUGAUGUAUCCAUUACUAUAUUAGAAGCAAAGCUCUCAUAUUUUGGACAUGCGAGUAAGGCAUAUACAUUUCUGUAAUUGAAGAAUUCUAAUAUUGAUGACUGGAUACUUGAGUGAUGCAACUAUGGCUGAGGAUGCCUUAUCUGUUUGCAUGACUAUAAUGAUUGGGAGCUCAUAUUUCCUUUAACCUUCUUUGCGGGGACAGGCUGCAAACUGGAACAAUAACCCCGUUUGUGCAGCUACAAUUGGAGCAGUCACUUUUUUGGAACCUACUCCAGCAGCAAAUUUUACUACGCUAACUUAGAACUACACUAACUAGCUCUUUGGAUAUACUCCACCUGCUACUUUUUCUAAAGGAGCAACUAAUCUUUUUGUACAACUAGCAUUUUUGAACCAGCUUCAAUAGCAACUAAAGUCUAAAUUGUAUGAAAUUUCGCUAUUUCAAUAGAAUGCAGUAAUUUCCCU